AGGAAGAGAUACGCUCCCCUCCAACGCGGCUGCUCUUUCGGCCCCUCUUUCUGGAGUCGACGCUAUCCCCUGGUUGGCCAGAAAAAUUCAUCAUCCUCCUCCUUCCUUUUGCCUUCCUGUUUACCGAUCUACUGGGAAUUUCUAAUCGUCUGCCGAUUUAAUGUUUUUAGAAUUCUGGGCAGGAAAAAUGUUCCCUUUUCUUUAGAAAGUGAGGCAUAAUCUUGACUCCCAGCUGUUUGAAUUUGAGGGUUACUUGUGGGUCUGGCUGAGGGAGUUGAAUUGAAUAACAAGUGUCUCCCAUUGAUUUGGUUUUGGGCUCUCAUUUUUAGUUUACCACUAGAUUCUUCACUCUGUCCAAACUGGGUUUUAUGGCUGACCGAAGUUCAGCGGUUGCCAAGCCGGUUUGGAUGAAGCAAGCAGAGGAGGCGAAGCUGAAGAGUGAAGCCGAGAAGGCUGCGGCAGCGAAGGCUGCUUUUGAAGCCACGUUCAAAGGGGUUGAUAAGAAUCGCGAAAAGGAUACUGUUCCAUCGGACAGUGAAUCGGAGGAAUUCGAGGACUUGGCUAAUAAGCCAAUUGGUCCCGUGGAUCCUGCAAAGUGCACAGCAGCUGGUACUGGGAUUGCAGGGGGAACAGCAUGUGCUCCAUCCUCAUUUAUGGUGGUGACCAAGGACGCUGAUGGGAGGAAGAUUUCCACGGGGGGUGCCCAGGUGAAGGUCAAGGUCUUCCCGGGAUUGGGUGUUGGAGGGUCGGAGCAAGAGGGGAUUGUCAAGGAUAUGGGUGAUGGAACGUACACUGUUACUUAUGUUGUGCCAAAACGAGGGAACUACAUGGUCAGUGUUGAGUGUAAUGGCAAGCCAAUUUUGGGCAGUCCAUUCCCUGUGUUUUUCAGUGCAGGUAAUAAUAAUGGAGGACUCCUGGGUUUAGCUCCUGCAUCCAACUUUCCCAAUCUGGUCAACCAAACCAUGCCCAACAUGCCAAAUUACUCUGGAUCUGUUUCAGGUGCAUUUCCAGGGUUAUUAGGAAUGAUUCCAGGUGUUGUUGCUGGGGCUUCCGGAGGAGCUAUUUUGCCAGGAAUAGGGGCAUCACUGGGAGAAGUUUGUCGAGAAUAUCUCAAUGGACAAUGUGCGAAAAUUGAUUGUAAAUUGAAUCACCCCCCUCAUAAUUUGCUCAUGACUGCCUUAGCUGCUACAACCUCCAUGGGGACACUUAGCCAAGCUCCUAUGGCACCUUCUGCUGCUGCAAUGGCUGCUGCUCAGGCGAUAGUUGCCGCUCAAGCCCUCCAAGCCCAUGCAGCUCAGGUUCAAGCUCAGUCAGUAAAAGAUUCUGCCGGUUCACCUGACAAGGCCGGGAAGGCUGAAACAUUAAAGAAAACUCUUCAAGUUAGCAAUCUCAGUCCACUUCUUACAGUGGAUCAGCUGAAACAGCUCUUUGGCUUCUGUGGUACUGUUGUAGAAUGUACAAUCACUGAUUCAAAGCAUUUUGCCUAUAUAGAAUAUUCAAAACCUGAAGAAGCAACUGCCGCUCUGGCAUUGAAUAACAUAGAUGUUGGGGGACGCCCUUUGAAUGUUGAGAUGGCAAAAUCGCUUCCUCAGAAGCCAUCUGUAUCGAAUUCCUCACUGUCCUCAUCUUCUCUUCCUUUGAUGAUGCAGCAAGCUGUUGCUAUGCAACAGAUGCAGUUCCAGCAAGCAUUGCUCAUGCAACAAUCUUUAACUGCACAGCAAGCUGCUAACCGAGCCGCAACUAUGAAAUCUGCCACAGAGUUAGCAGCAGCCCGAGCUGCAGAGAUAAGUAAGAAACUGAAAGCUGAUGGCCAUGAGACCGAAGAGAAAGAUGCAAAGCAGAAAUCUAGGUCACCUUCUCGUGGUAGAUCACAAUCAAAGUCUAGAUCUCCUGUCAAUCAUCGAAGAAGGAGGAAAUCUCCUUCUUACUCCCCCCCCUAUUCAAAGGACCGUAGGUCUAGGUCACCAUUGAGAUCCCAUCAUUAUUCAAUCUUUGAAAGGGAACGGAGGUUUUAUAGAGACAAAUGGGAAAACAGUGAUAGAUAUAGAAGACGGGAUUCAGAUAGAUCAUAUGAUCAUCAUUCAUCUAGUUUGAGAAGAAACAGGAGCAGGAGCGUGAGCCCUCGUUCAAGGAAAUCAUAUCGAGUUGAUUCUGUUUCUCCUAAACGCAGAGAAAGUUCACCACAUAGAGGAAGGAAGUCAUCACGUGCUGGUUCUGGCUCUCCACGUCAUCACAGAGGAAGUAGGUCAUCUCCAAGAAAGUCAUCACGUGGUAGUUCUGGCUCUCCAAGUCAUCACAGAGGAGUCAAGUCAUCUCAAGUUGAUGAUGAGAGCAAACUAAGAAUGAGAAGACGCUCCAGGUCAAGAUCUGCUGAGGAUAAGCAUCAUUAUAUUGAUAAAACAGAUGGAAAAUCUAAACAUAGAGAGAGGCGGCAGUCAGUGGAACCAGAGCCUCAUGGAAGAAGCCGGUCAUCCCCAAGAAAGGGGGAUGAAAGUAGAUCCAGGUCCAGGAGGCGGUCCCGGUCAAAAUCUUUAGACAGCGAUUACCAUUCUCUUGAGAAGGUGGAUGAACGCAGGAAUAGAAGACCAAGGCAUCGUGAAAAAAGGCAUUCUAGAUCUAGAUCUGUGGAAAAUAAGAGUCCAACUGCUGAAAGAGAGAAUGAGAGCAGAAAACAUCGUCACACUAAAAAGUCUAGGUCAAAAUCUGUUGAAGCAAAGCAUCGUGUUAAAGAUAAAUCAGGUGAAAUCAAAGAUAAGAAAGCGAAGCAUCGAGAUAGAAAGAGUUCAAGGUCAACAUCAGUAGAUCGUAAGCAUGGCAAAGGAGGCACAUCCCAAGGAAAUUUUGAUGAGGGCAGUUUUGAAGACACAAAGGACUACAAAUCAAAAUCACCUGAGGGAAAGGAUUGCUCUAAUGGAAGAGGAGAUGAAAAUUUAGAGCAUCCAGCAGAAUCUCUGUCUAAAUCAGUGUCAGAAAGUUGUCGGCAAUGUGAUGGGAGUGGGUUAUCCCCAGGGAGUUUCAAGGGGCAUGAAUUUAAAGACACUAACCCAUCUGGUUUUGGAUGUGGAGAAGGUGAGCAUCAUUUGAGUGAUCAGGAGAAUGGACAUAGUGAUGAAAAUUCAAAACUUCGUGAAGAUACCAUGCAGGAAGUGAUUAUAGACGUGAAGAAUUCAACAAACAUGAGAGAUGAUCAGAUGCUGGUCCCGUCAAAUCAAAGCUGCAACUCGGCGGUGCCAACUGAAAAUGCAAAAGCAGAAGAUAACCCAGGGGAUCUAAGUGGAAAGAGAAUGGGAACUGAAUAAUGAAGAACACAAGCUUUGCGCACCAGGAGUGGGGCCUCAAAAUGUUUUUGAAGAUUCAACUUAGGUUUUUAUGAGGAAUAACUACGACAAAAGACCUGUAUUAUUGUAUUUGUGAUUCAGAAGUACUGGGAGAUGGAAGUAAUUUAGUUUCUUCACCUAGACAUGUGGGGGAGAGCUGCGUCAACCUUGAUGGUUAUGAUUUCUGAUCGACAGAGGAUAAUUCCUGAUAGAUCAUGACGUGAAUUAUGAUUGUCUAUGAUUGAGGAUUUCUGCACGAGGCAAUAGUCAUGGCUGCUGAUGAGUCCACAUUCUGAUUUAGGGAGGUCAAAUUUCAUGAACGAGUUCUUUCCGAGGAGUGAACUGUUACUUCUUAGGACAAGCUCACAUCACAUGGGAGAUGCUUCCACUGUUUGAUUUGGCCUUGGGAAUAUUCUGUGUUGGUUUUUAUGGAUGUCUUUGUCUAUUUCUUUUUUGCAGGUGGUUGUGGAACAGAUCACUGAUAAAAUCCUUGACCAGUUGACACGGUUUAAGGUUUCAAGAAGCGUCCUGCUUUUGCAAUGUCUAAUGAUCAACCAUGCAACACGCAUAACAUGCUUGUUUUACUGCUUGGUUGAUGUUAUAUUCAAGUGAACUCAGUUGGAGCUUUUUGAGAUACAAUUUUGCUGGGUUGAUUUUCUCUUGUGUAAAUGAAGAAAUUGUCAUAAUAGGUAAAGCUAUCACACAAGGUCAAGUGAAACCAGAUGUUGCUGCAAUGAGUUACAUCAUGUUGCAUGUGAGCAAAUUGGCUGUUACACAUUACUUAAGUAAAUGGGAAAUGGAAAUGUUGAUUUUGACAGGAUAAGCUGUGGAUAUGAAUGAUCUUGAGAGCAGCUGCAAUGAAUCUCAUCUGCAGAUGAUUGUGUGAAGUUUGACCUUUGCAGUUCUAAUUGUUUUUCCUUUUUUUUUUUCAAUGUUUUGUCUAAUAACCAGUUGUUUGUCAGAGAUGCCGAUUGUAUGUCUCCCUGGCAAUCAGAUUAAGCUUUUAUCAAUCAAAUAAGAUUUUGUUCUCAGCUGGAGCAGUUGUUCAAAAUAAUUAACGUUUCUAUUGGCCCCGCA